rnacentral:lncRNA from 1 species
UGGGUCUUCUCCUAAAAAGUAGUUAAAUAAUACAGACUUUAGAAUUAAACCUAUAAUUAAGACUUGAUGCUACAGCUUCUUAUAUGACCUAAAUGCCUACCUUCUCUAAGCCUUUAGUAUAUGUCUGUCAAAUGGACACAUAAGAGUCAGUACCUUGGAGAGGUGUUGUAGGGAUUAGACAAGACAGGCAAUAUGACUCAUCUAUGAACUCAGCCUAUGUCCCUUUCUGCCAUUCUAGAACACCCUGAUAAAACAGUCCUCUAUGCAUCAUGUUCCUAGAAACUUUACAAUGGGCUGAGCAAAGAUGUCACUGUUGACAGUAAAGAACAUUCUGAUGGUAGCAAGUGGAGGGUACAAGAUGUCACAUGGACCCCUUCACAUCUUCAGUAGUUCUUCCCAGAAUGCUUUUCAAUGCUACCUACCAUCAGAGGGAACCAGACAGUGAGACAGACUGACAGACAGACAGGAUUUAUCAGCACAUCUGGAGAAUGCUUCGUGCAGCUCGAUGGAGCCCAGGCCUUGCUGCUGCUGCUGCUGCUGCUGCUGCUGCUGCUGCUGCUGCUGCUGGGAAGAAGCUGGUGGCUUACAAGAAGCCUUUCCCUACGUUUCAUUUGCUUUGCAAUAAAAGCCCCAAAGCUCUGGCUUUAGGCUGCUGUUCCCAUCACUAAGCUACUUAAUCCACUUGCCUUUGAGGUUGGAGUUCAAAUGAGGGUCACCCCAGAGUCAGCCUAGCAGCUUCCCAGGAAAUCCAUGAGGCCACCGGCCUUGGGGGCUUGCGACCUCAGAGGGACCCUGUCCAGUGCCU